rnacentral:rRNA from 1 species
AGAAAAGCAAAAAAGAGCACACGGCGGAUGCCUUGGCUCUCGGAGGCGAAGAAGGACGUGAUAAGCUGCGAAAAGCUGCGGUGAGUGGCACAUGCACUGAGACCCGCAGAUAUCCGAAUGGGGCAACCCAGAUGGCUUCGAGCCAUCUACACGCAGAAGCGUGGGCGAACGCGGUGAACUGAAACAUCUAAGUAACCGCAGGAAGAGAAAAUAAAAAAUGAUACCGCAAGUAGUGGCGAGCGAACGCGGCAAAGCCCAAACCGCUGCUGUGGCAACGCAGGAGCGGGGUUAUAGGACCGCCAAAAACGGUUAAAGUGAGGUAGCCGAAUGAACUGGAAAGUUCAGUCGCAGAAGGUGACAACCCUGUAGGCGAAACCGUCACAUAAAUCAAGGCGGCACCUGAGUAACCCGGAGCACGAGAAAUUCCGGGCGAAUUCUCGGGGACCACCCCGAAAGGCUAAAUACUACCGAGAGACCGAUAGUGGACCAGUACCGUGAGGGAAAGGUGAAAAGAACCUCGAACAGAGGAGUGCAAUAGAACCUGAAACCGUGUGCUUACAAGCGGUCGGAGCUUCAUAAGGAGUGACGGCGUGCCUUUUGCAUAAUGAACCUACGAGUCACCGUCGAUGGCAAGAUUAAGCGUUUGAGACGCGAAGUCGAAGCGAAAGCGAGUCCGAACAGGGCGUUUAGUCAUCGGGGGUGGACGCGAAACCAAGUGAUCUACCCUUGGGCAGGUUGAAGGACAGGUAAAACUGUCUGGAGGACCGCACCGGUAAGCGUUGAAAAGCUUUCGGAUGACCUGAGGGUAGGAGUGAAAGGCCAAUCAAACUUGGAGAUAGCUCGUACUCCCCGAAAUGUAUUUAGGUGCAGCGUCGUGAUUAUAGUCCGGCGGAGGUAGAGCGACUGAUAGGAUGCGAGGGCUUCACCGCCUAUCAAGUCCUGCCAAACUCCGAAUGCCGCCGGAUAUGCACGGCAGUAAGGGCGCGGGUGCUAAGGUCCGCGUCCGAGAGAGGAACAACUCAGACCAUCGGCUAAGGUCCCGAAAUCCGGGCUAAGUUGAAGACAAUAACGAGGUGGUUCCGCAGAGACAGCUAGGAUGUUGGCUUGGAAGCAGCCAUUCAUUUAAAGAGUGCGUAACAGCUCACUAGUCGAGCGGGACUGCGUGGAUAAUAAUCGGGCAUAAGUCCGGUACCGAAGCUGUGGGACUUGCAUUAAGUGCAAGUCGGUAGGGGAGCAUUCCCACGUCGUCGAAUGCGUGCCGCGAGACACGCUGGAGAUUUGGGAAAAGCAAAUGUAGGUAUAAGUAACGAUAAAGGGGGCGGGAAACCCCCUCGCCGAAAGACCAAGGGUUCCUGAUCAACGCUAAUCGGAUCAGGGUCAGUCGGGACCUAACGGGCAGCCGCGAGGCGAACCGGAUGGCAGAAACGGUAAACAUUCCGUUACUGGGCGUAUGAGUGAAGCGGGGACGGAGAAGUGACACGGCCGCGGGCUGACGGAAUAGCCCGUUAAAGGGUGUAGGUAAAUUUGGCGUAGUUAAGUACGCGCCAGAUGCCGAACCUGACAGUACACUGAGCCUACGGGCAAGGUGAUAGCGUCGGUAAACAAGCUCCCAAGAAAAACCGCUAAACAUAUUGUACGUCCACCCGUACCUAAACCGACACAGGUGGUCGGGUAGAAAAUACUAAGG